rnacentral:rRNA from 1 species
GAUGAACGCUGGCGGCGUGCCUAAUACAUGCAAGUCGAGCGAACGGACGAGAAGCUUGCUUCUCUGAUGUUAGCGGCGGACGGGUGAGUAACACGUGGAUAACCUACCUAUAAGACUGGGAUAACUUCGGGAAACCGGAGCUAAUACCGGAUAAUAUUUUGAACCGCAUGGUUCAAAAGUGAAAGACGGUCUUGCUGUCACUUAUAGAUGGAUCCGCGCUGCAUUAGCUAGUUGGUAAGGUAACGGCUUACCAAGGCAACGAUGCAUAGCCGACCUGAGAGGGUGAUCGGCCACACUGGAACUGAGACACGGUCCAGACUCCUACGGGAGGCAGCAGUAGGGAAUCUUCCGCAAUGGGCGAAAGCCUGACGGAGCAACGCCGCGUGAGUGAUGAAGGUCUUCGGAUCGUAAAACUCUGUUAUUAGGGAAGAACAUAUGUGUAAGUAACUGUGCACAUCUUGACGGUACCUAAUCAGGAAGCCACGGCUAACUACGUG